CCCGUUCCCGCUGCCCGUUCCCACUGCCCGCACCCGCUGCCCGUUCCCACUGCCCGCACCCACUGCCCGCUCCCACUGCCCGUUCCCACUGCCCGUUCCCCCUGCCCGCACCCACUGCCCGCACCCACUGCCCUCACCCACUGCCUGUUCCCACUGCCUGUUCCCACUGCCCGCUCCCACUGCCCGUUCCCACUGCCCGUUCCCACUGCCCGUUCCCCCUGCCCGCACCCGCUGCCCGCACCCGCUGCCCGUACCCGGUUCUCGGGGCCGGGCGAGGCCCUGAGCCCCCGUUACACCGAGGGCUCGCUGGGGCCGGGCCAGGGCCCGGGCAGUCCCCUACCUGCUCCUCGGGAGCGGGGGAGCCCCGCUGCCGCCUCCCAGAGAGCCCCGGCAGCGGAGGGACCGCGGCACCGCUGCCCCCGCACGGGCGGCUCCUCGCAGCGAGCCUCACCUUCCCCGCCUGCAAACCUGGCUGUCCCAGGACCGUGGGGUGGCCCCGGGGCAGGGCAGGGCAGGGCCACCCCCCGUCCCCUUCCUGCCCCGGCGCAGGACGAACAGCUGCAAACCUCCCUCGUUGAAGAAACCAUGUCACGGAAGAGAAGAGACCUUCAGGACUCCGUGGAGGUUCUUGGCAGAAGCAUCUUGGGGACUUCGGCUGAUUUAUUUGCUUAUUUAGGAGGCUGGUUUGGCUGCUUGGUCUGACUUGCCCAGACUAUCACCGAGAUAUCUGGAAGCUUGAACAUACAGGUUCGCCUCAUAUAGUCCCUAAGUUUUUAUCUACAAACUUAACAGCUGUAAGUAUUUUAGAUUACUUAACUUGUGGCUGUUCUGGGAACACUACGUUCUUUAGGUUCUGGUGAUUCUUAGUUCCCUGUUUCACAUCACAGCUAGAGACAGAGUUUUUCAAAGCAGGAGUUCCUCAAACUAUUUUGUUAAGCACAGAAUCAAAUGUGGACGAUUUUAACACUGUACUGCGACUUACUCGUUCACUAACUACUAAACUAGAUAUUAAGGUAGAGGAAAGCUCUUUUUUAUGUUCUUCACAAAGCAGGCAGCAAACAUGGACUAUAGAACUAUCAAGGUAGAUGUUCUCAUUAUUGUUAAAAAUACAUCAUAACAUUUGCUAAGCAAAUUACAAGUAUUUUGCAAAAACUGUGGAGAAUGAUCCAGACAUGUCCAGUCCCUUCCAUUCCUUUUCAUCCUGCUUCUGAUACUUCUUUCAUUUCAUGUUCUGGUACUAUUUUAUUUACCAAAUGGAAACACGUUCAAACAUCCUGCCCACUAGCUGCAGAUAAGUGAAGAUGAAUGAUUAUGUCCUGCUGUGCCUGCAUAAACUGUUUUCCAUCAACCCAAGGUAUGCAGUGCUAGCUGGAGGCACAUUGCAACACUUCCAGAUUCAAAGCUGUUGGGAGGUACACAGAAAAUUAAUUCAUUCCUGACUUGGCAAACACAGCAGGAUUUAUACAGUCAUCUUGUCUCUCUUUAGUCACCACUUCUAUCCAUAUUUAAUUUUGGAAAUGUUUCUCAUUAACUCUUAAACAGUGCAAGAUUAUUCGAGAUUUUCAGCUUCUGUAUUAUUUUGCAGGACUGAAAAACAUCUGUGACUGGAAUGGGAUUAAGUGAGGUCUCUACUAUAUUUCUCUAGAAGCACUGGUUUAAAAAAAUUAGUAACUUCGUAAGAAUUCUUUUUGAGGUACACAUGCUAGAGUUUCUGCUGUUGUGAUGGGGCUUUUUGUGAUGAGGCUUUUUCUCCUGUAUUCAUUAUAAUACUACUAAUAUUGAAAAAAUGUUCCCGGUAAAAAGGUUUCUGGUGUAAAACACUUCGUUAAAAUUCUACCAAAAUAAACAUGUAAAAUCAGAACUAUUCA
rnacentral:lncRNA from 1 species